rnacentral:rRNA from 1 species
UUAGCUCCCACAAGGGUUCACAGCGUCGGGGAGGUUGGGCGCCUCGAUGUCGGCACGGCGAAUCCUGGGGCUGAAGUGGGUCCCAAGGGUUGGGAUGUUCGCCCAUUAAAGCGGCAAGCGAGCUGGGUUCAGAACGUCGUGAGACAGUUCGGUCCCUAUCCGUCGUGGGCGUAGGAAAAUUGCGAGGAGCUGUCCUUAGUACGUGAGGACCGGCAUGGACUCACCGCUGGUGUACCAGCUGGUCCGCCAGGAGCAUCGAUGGGUACCUAUGUGCGGAAGGGAUAAGCACUGAUAGAAACAAAGUGCGAAGCCCCCCUCCACAAGAUAUUUCCUUUACGUACGCAGGAAGACACCCCAGAGACGAUGAGGUAGCUAGGCUGAGAGUGGAAACGCAG